UUCUUCUCGCUCCUAAAAGUGUAAAAGUGUGUAACUUUUCUAUGGCACACAGCAAACUAGUUGGUUUGUGUCGUGUCCAGACCAAGAACCCACACAUUGGUGAUUCAGUCUCUGCCAAAAAGCCACCCCGCGGGGGUCAAGGAAAGUUGUGAGCGAUUGAUAAAGAAGGUGUCACUCAGCAACUGGAGCUGUCAAUCAAAGAGGCACUGAGGUGGACAGCCUGCCACGCAGCAACAACAACAGCAUGAUGUCGAUCAUUACCCCAACCCUCCUCCUUCCACCAUAAAAAGCCAUACCUUUGCUCAAUGGAAAUCCAGUUUUGUAUGAAGGAUGCCACCCAUUUUUGCCGACCGAAAAUUGAAGUUUUGGGCCAUAUUUGUCAUUAA